rnacentral:rRNA from 1 species
AGUGAACGCUGGCGGUAGGCCUAACACAUGCAAGUCGAACGGCAGCACAGUAAGAGCUUGCUCUUACGGGUGGCGAGUGGCGGACGGGUGAGGAAUACAUCGGAAUCUACUUUUUCGUGGGGGAUAACGUAGGGAAACUUACGCUAAUACCGCAUACGAUCUACGGAUGAAAGCAGGGGAUCUUCGGACCUUGCGCGAUUGAAUGAGCCGAUGUCGGAUUAGCUAGUUGGCGGGGUAAAGGCCCACCAAGGCGACGAUCCGUAGCUGGUCUGAGAGGAUGAUCAGCCACACUGGAACUGAGACACGGUCCAGACUCCUACGGGAGGCAGCAGUGGGGAAUAUUGGACAAUGGGCGCAAGCCUGAUCCAGCCAUACCGCGUGGGUGAAGAAGGCCUUCGGGUUGUAAAGCCCUUUUGUUGGGAAAGAAAAGCAGCAGGUUAAUACCCCGCUGUUCUGACGGUACCCAAAGAAUAAGCACCGGCUAACUUCGUG